rnacentral:lncRNA from 1 species
AUACACCCUGUUCCAAAUUAUUAUGCAAAUUCUAUUUAAGUGUCACUAUUUAAGUGUCACAAAGAUUAAAUAUUUUGUUUUUCAGUUUAACGCAUGGAUGGCAUUGUGUCUCAGGGCUCUUUUGAUCACUGAAAACAAUCUCGGACACCUGUGAUAAUUAGAUUGCCAGGUGAGCCCAAUUUAAGGAAAAACUACUAAUGGAGGGUGUUCCACAUUAUUAAGCAGAGCACCAUUUUCAUGCACUAUGGGGAAGAAAAAGGAUCUCUCUGCUGCCG